GUGUCAGCAGCCGCGGUAAUACGUAGGUGGCAAGCGUUGUCCGGAUUUACUGGGCGUAAAGGGCUUGUAGGCGGUUCGUUAAGUCCGGUGUGAAAUCUCCCGGCUCAACUGGGAGGGGCCAUUGGAUACUGGCGGACUAGAGGCGGGUAGAGGAAAGCAGAAUUCCCGGUGUAGCGGUGAAAUGCGUAGAUAUCGGGAGGAAUACCAGUGGCGAAGGCGGCUUUCUGGACCUGUCCUGACGCUGAGGAGCGAAAGCGUGGGGAGCAAACCGGAUUAGAAACCCCCGUAGUCC
rnacentral:rRNA from 1 species